UUUGGAGCUGGAUGAGUCACACUGCAAGACAAUGACUGCAAGGUGGGAGAGCUGCAUGCCAUGACAUUGGCUGGAUGGCCUGUUCAGAGCUGCUCUCAUUUCUCCUUUCUCCAGCAGUUGGUAUUGGCUACUUCAGGUGUUGCUGUCUUCUAGACAGAGCAGCAAACAUACUGAAUGGAUUUCAAUACGAUUACUGGCUGUGUUCCCAGAUUUCACUAUGUGACAACAGGAGAAUGAACCAAAGCCUGCAAGACAAAAUGGGAUACACACAAAUUCUUGUGAUAUGAACAGAAAACAGAAAGCUGUCUGUGACUGGGGCUUCUUUUCCUUUUUAAUGCAGCUUUUUAAAAUUUCUAUUAAGGUAAGUCAGGUAGACUAUAAAAUAAUACUGAAAAUCAGUUCCAAGAAGAAUUAGCUCCCAUUGUUACUGGGAAACCACCAAUGGCAUUUAAUUCCAAUUCCCAUCCAGAGACAAAAAAAAAAAAAAAAAAAAAAAGAAGAGAAGGAAAAAUGUAUUUCCAGCAUUUCCAAGAGAAAAAGCUCUUAGUGCUCUUGCUUUCCACUUUCAGUCAUUUAAACUACUGUCUUGGAACAAUGGAUCUUGCUAUAUUUUGAAAAGAAGUUAAUUGAACUUGUAUAAAUGAAAUUCCCCUACUGCAGUAGUGCCUCAAGCUAGCUAUGACAGGAAGACUUAGAACAUGAAAAUUGCAAUCAAAUUUCUAAAUCAGUAUUUCUAAAUUUGAUACCUUCUAUUAUUGCAAAUAUUUGGAGAUAUUAAAAAAAAACCUCUAAAGCAAACUGAACUCCUUAGUAUUUCCAUGAAGCAAUAAUUUUUUCUUUAUUUUUGUUUGCAGAGCAGUCAUUUUUAUUUGCCACUAGUGAUUUCAUUUUCCUUCUGUGAAUUAAUGGGUAAAAUAUAAAGACAUGAGAAAAUAGAUAACUUUAUUGCUUCAACCCCAUUACUGCAGCGUGGGAAUUCAUCAAAGUCCCAUUUCCUCAUGUAUAGAUAUUGCAUGUUUAACCUUAUUGCUCACAUUACAAUUACAUGAAGAUCUUUUAUAAUUUUUUCUUAAGUAGGGUAUCACCUUUUCCUGUGGUGUAUAAGAGGAGGCUAAAGUGAGAUCCUGGAGAGCUUUUUCUUUGGGAUCUGUCAAUCAGUCCAGAAUUCUGUCUAAAAAAUUUGUAUAGUGAGGAGGGCAGGAAAAAAUAUGAAGGUCAUUAUUUUUGCAAAAAUGUUGAAAGGGUUGGCAAACUGAACAAUUAUGCAUUAGGAUGCUCCAUGUAUAUUUGCAUUUGAGUUUUGAUAAUUUUGGAAUUUGUGAUUUUAUUAAAUGCUAUAAUAUAAUGGAAGAAAUUUCUUGAUGAGUGUUUCCAAUGCAUUGGCUUUUACGAUAUAGCAGUAAUGUAAACAACUAAUUUUUCUUCUGCGCUUAUCUAAAUUCUCGUGCUACCAAAGUCCAUAGAUUUCCUCUUGUCAGCAUUUCUGUCACUAAGCAUAUUUGACAAAUGAUCUUCUCCAUUUUCAACUUUUUCAGUUGUGAGACAAAUCAUACAAUAUUUUGUACAAAUGCAAUCGUAGUUAAUCUAUACGUCUAAUGUGGUUUUUUUAGUAAGACCUGAACUUUUGCUUAUGAAUAAUGAAGAAGACAAAAAUGCACCUUUGCAGAUUAUCUAGAGGCAGGUGUUUAUGUGAAAAAUAGGACAAACCUGCACCUCUUUUUAACAGUAAAGAAGAAAAUACUUUUGAAGUUCCAAUUCACAAGUCUCUAUUGACAACUUUCAGUGUUCGCAUUUUUUUCUGUGAAAUCACACAUGACACGCCUUAUUUUUCAGUAUUUCUAUUUCUCAGUAUUCAAAGUGAUAUAUCUAAAUUCUGAUGUAUUUUCUCAUGCUGAAAACCUCAUGCUUAUGUUUCAGGAUUAAAAAUAACAAAACACAAUGAACACCAUAGCUGGAAUUUCUCCAGGUGAACUCAAAUGUUCAAAAGUUCUUAAAUGUUUGAAUCUCAGCUAAUCAUUAAAGGAAAGGAACAGGAACCUUUUCAACUGAAUAAUAUCUUCAAUUUUUUGUACCUAUUUUAGGAUGAGAUUAAUCAUUCUCCUGAAAUUCACACAUUUCUGCACACAGCAUAUAAAGGCUGUGUCAGAUGGCUAAUACUAAGAUAUCUAACAUUUGGACAACUGAAAAUAAGGCAUGAUGAACUGCAUCUAUAAUUGGUUAGAGCGGGAAUUGUUUGGAACUUAGGAGCCAAAAUGUAUUAAAUUUUCAGUCUCCCUCUGGGCCACUGUGGGAGAGAAUGGCAAAAUCCCUUCUUCCAGUAAAUUUAUCAGAUCACUAAAGAAUGUUAAAUUUAGUCCUUACAGAAAUAAAAAAAAGGAAAUAUGAAGGAUUGAGCCAUUGACUUCUCUGAACUGUUAAAAAGGAUUUGAAUUGAGUGUAUCUUGCAGUUACUGCAGUUUUCAGCAACAGAAAUCUGCAUGAGGGAAAUUGUCCAUCCUCAGUCAUACGCUAAACAAACCAGAAAAUUAUAUCUGAUGGUGUUCCAGAGAAGUAUCAUCUCCAACACAGUAGAGGCAUGUUGUACUUUUCUACUCAGAUCUUAACCCAAUGAUUGGUCAGAUUUUGUGUUGUAUCCAAUGAUUUGUCAGAUUAUAUAUACAUAUAAAAAAUCUACAUGUAUAUGUAUAAACUGUAUUGUCCCUGAAUUUUGGACAAUAUUCCAAGAUUAAUGUGCUACUUUACACUGGGUUAAAUUGCUGAUGGCAUAAAUUGGCCACUAUACUGGAGAUAAAAUUCUCUAAGUGCAGAGUGUUAGUAUUUCUGAAAGGAUAUCACACCAUUAAAAAGAAGCACAUGUUAUCUGUAUGAUGCGCAGAAGCCAAGUUAGGAAUUUCACAUGAUACUGCAGACUCUUGUUCCAUGUGGAGAAGCAGACCAGUACCCACAGGUAUCUCUUACAGUGUUAAGUGGGCUUUCACAUACUCUGUAGUAAGGAUGUUUGAAAAGAAAAGUUUUCAUCAACUUGUUGAAUGUCAUUUCCUCUAAGUCCAAAUCAAAAUUGUGAGUGUGUCUGUUAUGGCAAAUUAAAAGUUGCAUUUAUUUCUUGCCCUUUUGUAUCAUUUGAAUAAUUUCUAUAGCCAGUCUUCUGUUUGAAAAAAUCUGUGCUUUUCAUUUUCAUGAGAAAUUCUGAGAUUUGCACAUACUCCGGCAGCCAAAAGAGAACAGCCUUAAUUGACCUUUGGAAAAAGCAAUAUGAAAUCAGUUGCAAAUUUAAACUCUUGAGUGUGAGAAAGCAGUGGCUUGUGGAAAAUACCUAAGAAGAGAGGAAAACCCUGGUCUGUGACAAUGGACAGGAAGGAAAAGGCAGUCUCUUCUGGAGGUCCAAGCUGCAGUUUGGGGAGGCCACAAGCAUACAUUUUAUGGAAAAUGCCCUGUCUUACAAAGUUAAGUGGUAUCUGUCUUCUGUUUCUGUGUCUGUCUGUGUAAACAAUUAGUUAUGGUACAGGGUGAAACAACAACAACAUAAUCUACACCAGUCUUGACAGAGAGGUUUUCCUCCUUUUUUUUUUUUUGGUCUGUAUUAUAUGCCCCAAUUCUCUGCAUGCUGUGUGGCACGCAGUUGUCUUUUUAAGGACAGGCAAUAGACAUAUGGCUUGUCAGUAAUAAAAUAUUUUGUGGAGAGGAUACAGCUGUUUCUAGUUUAAUAUCUGCCAUCUGAAAGCGUCUGUAUCACACAGAAAAGGCAAAAGAGAAACAUUAUCUCUGGGAAGCAUACCAACACUGUUUCUAGCAAAUCAUUUCUAAAUCUAGACAUGUGGUAUAAACUGAUAAACAUCCUUUACUUAUUGUCCUGAACAUACUUAUUUUAUUUCAAUCUUUUCCAGCAGUCUGACUGCUUGGUUUCAUCCUUUAUAACUAAACUUAGCACUGAUUGACCCAAGAAAUCAAAGAGAUGCCUAAGGUACUCAUGUGAAAUAUAUAUUUUGUAUAAUCUAAUUCUACCUCUGUGAUAUUUUCCAACUUUAUGUCCUUCCCUUGAAGGGACUUAUGGUGCUUCAGAUCUGGGAUCUUCCCAUCAGUAACUGAUAUAUUAUAAAGGACAUCUGUCGUUCUCUUGAUCCUAACCACUGCUAGUGGCUGCUAGCCAAACAGACAUCAAAACCAGCAAUUUUUCAUUACCUCGUUAUUAUCUCAGAAUGCUGGAAGUCCUGCUCAAAGGCAUGAAUUUAAAAGAUGUGAACAAAAUCAUAAAUGGAGCAUUUCUCAUUGCAGAAUAUUUAAUGGCUGCCAUAUCUUCUGUUGUCUAGAAUUAGGUAGGGCUGGGUCAGUUAAGGUCUUAUACUCCUAAAAUCUUCAGAGACCUGCCCUCAGCUGAGGACUGCGGAACAGUCUGUAAGAUUUUUCAGCUCUAUAGGAAGAGUCAGGUGCCUCAGGGUGAAAUGGAAGGAGGUGCAAUUCUGAUUUCAGACCUAGCCUAGAAAUCAACAGGACAGACACUGGUUGAAAAUCUACCCAGAGCAGCACCCUUGGCACUUCCUUUAGGGAUUAGGGAUAAUGUUGCUAUGGGGUAAUUGUUCAGACAUUACAGCAAUCUCCCAUGAUGCAGAAGACCUAUUCUAUAAGGCUUGCCCAGCCAUGGAGAGCACUAACCAAUUUCCCCCAUGUUACAGGAAUGGACUACAUUUUUGAGGUGAAGGUACAAUUUGAACCAGGAAAGAAAGUGUUCUCCCUGCGAAAAUUGGAUGGCUCUCCCCCUGAAUGAACAAUACCAUAUUAUUAUUAUUAUUUUUAUUUUUUUCUUUCCAUCUUUGAAUAGUUUCCAUAACAGAAUUUGGAUUUUAUGGCACAAGGUAUCAGCAGUUUGUUGCAUUCUAAUCAAACUUAUUGUGCUGUCUUUACAGUUGGCUGGUAAAAUUAAAACACCCCCUGCCUUCCCUGACGUAAUCCCAGAGGUAUUGCUAAAAAUGCUUACACUGAUACAGCUGAUUUAAGUACAUUGGAAUUACAUCAGCUAUACUGGUGUCAAACUGCACCUACACAGAUGCGUAACUCUUCUAUCACAGGAGAUACUGAUUCAGUAUGUGCUGGAUGUUAUAAAUAGAUAACAUCCAGUUUGUAUACAGCCCUCAGUGAAUAGAGAAGGGCCUUCAUAGUACUUGAAAGCAGUAAGAUUCAGUAUCUUUGUGUUUAUUUGAAUUUACCUCCCUUGGGCAAUGGCCAGUUUUGAAAAUUAACCAAGAAAAUGCUUUGGUUUCACAUGUUUAACUCUGAAAGCCUGUAUAUUUCAUAUCUUCUGGGGGAGUAUAAUAUUCAUGAGAAAAGGAACUCAGAUUUCUCUUUUGAGGCUAAAUGAUACUGGUGAUGGAUAUUUUACUGGAAAGAGACAUAUAUAACACCAGUGACCUGAAUAUUCAGUAUAGGGUCAAUAAAUUUUCUUUGUCAAAGAUAAAAUAUUAGUUUUAAUUCUAAUGGGACAUACUGAAAUGCAGCUAAUAAUAUUUAAUUAUUUGAGAUUUACCAAGUGGGUGACAAAAUCCUCUCCUUGCACUGCCAGUCAAAUUUUCUGUUCCCAUAGGCUCUCAUGGAUUGAUAGGCUUUAAAAACUGUGUACUACAUCUUUUGUUCUCAGCUCACAGCUGAUGCAGUUGCCAAUAACUUGUGUUUGUCUCUAGUAUACAUGUUGAGAAAAGGUAGACUCCCAGUAGGCAGUUCUCAUUGACCUUGACCAAUCUCUCCUGUUCUCAUGCUGGAGAUCAUUUCUCCCUCUGUAGGGCCCACACAACUGCUGGCAGGGACCAGGCACGAAAUAUGGACACUGGAAUAUGGCAUGAAAUUUGUCCUCCUUUUUCUAAACUGCUUAAUUUUACUGAUUCUUUAUUGAAGAAUGUGAUCCAGCAGCUAUUUAUAUAGGAGGUGGAAGAAAACAGCACCACAGGAAUGGUGAAAAGCUGUUCACAAAUGAAAGAUAGGAGUAAUACUGGAAGCAAGAAGGAGAAAGGUUAUUUCUCUGGAAAAUACAGCAUAGAAGGACACCUUUGCAUAUCCAGGUCUUUUUCUGAGGAUGAAAAUGGGAAAACUGAGCUUUUCUCUUCCCUGACUGCUCUUCAGGUUAAUUACUGCCACUGUUAAAGGACUGUGCAUUCAACACAGGGUAGCACUUCUGUUGUAUUUAGAGUACAGGCAUACUAUAGGCUAGCAGAAAUUAAUAAUUUUUGAAUAUUCUUUGAUUGCCUCAGACCUAGUGGGAGGAUGUACCAUAUGAAAAUUUAGACAGGGAGGCAAAGUUAUUGGUUUUUUUCUAAUCUCAUCUAUUCUAGGUUGUGUCUCCAAGUUUUAUUCCAUUUUCAAACACUUUCUAGCUGUCAUGCCAGAAACAGUGACCUAUAUUUUUAUUUUAUCCUAGAUUUUAUUCUUUCCUUUUUAUUAUUUUUCAACCAAUGUGUAUAGUGUGCAUUUUAUUGAUAAAAGUUUAAUAGUCAUGUUUUAAAAGCCUUCAGCUUUAUAUAACCGAUUACUAUGUUGUAAUAAAAGUAAAAUACAAACCACAAGAGACACAGUGGAAGAUAUUGCCAUACUUUUAAUGUGCCCCAAGUAAUGAAUAGGCACUGAAAUAACUGAAAUAACUGAAAACAAAAAGUACACAGAUAAGCAUAAGCAUGCUAUGGUAAUUCAUUUUGAGAUACCAGUGAAAAGUCAUUGAGAAAGUGAAUAAUUAUGGAUUUGAUGGAUAUUUGAAUGGAGGCCACAGAAGCAGUAAAGGUAUUGGAGAGGGGGUUUAUUUCCUACUAAACAGGUGCCUAUAUGGACUCCUUUGCUUGUGUUCCUGGUUUCAAUCCUAUUGAAACAUUUCAUUUUGACUUUGAUUUUUCUUCAAAUUAUAUUGAUUUUGCUUAGUCUAUUAUAAAUCAUGAUUUGUGUUCAUUAUUGAGUACAGACUUAUCUGUAUUGAUGUGUGCUAGACUGACCACUAUUAAAUAAAUUCUGCAGAUACACAGAUAAUUGCUUUUGUUUAAGAAUGCUAACUCUUCCUUUUAUUCCAUUGUUAAAUCUUUGGAUGUAAUUGUAGUUCAAAAUAAAUAGACACUUUAAAAUGU